AACCUGCCCCAAACUGGGGGAUAGCCCGGCGAAAGCUGGGGUAAACCCGCAUAGACUCCACUAACCGCAUGGUUUGGUGGUGUAAAGGCUUCGGCUGGUUUGGGAGGGAUUUGCGUCUGAUUAGCUAGUUGGAGGGGUAGUGGCCCACCAAGGCGAUGAUCAGUCGGGGCUCUGAGAGGAGGGUCCCCCACAUGGGCACUGAGACACGGACCCGACUCCUACGGGAGGCAGCAGUAGGGAAUAUUGGACAAUGGGCGGAAGCCUGAUCCAGCCAUGCCGCGUGAAG
rnacentral:rRNA from 1 species